GGAUGAUCAGCCACACUGGAACUGAGAUACGGUCCAGACUCCUACGGGAGGCAGCAGUCAGGAAUAUUGGGCAAUGGGCGAAAGCCUGACCCAGCAACGCCGCGUGAAGGAUGAAGGCCUUCGGGUCGUAAACUUCUGUCGAGAGGGAAGAAUGCGUACGGGUAAAUAAUCCGUGCGUUUGACGGUACCUCCAAAGGAAGCACCGGCUAACUCCGUGCCAGCAGCCGCGGUAAUACGGAGGGUGCAAGCGUUGUUCGGAUUCAUUGGGCGUAAAGCGAGUGUAGGCGGUUUGACAAGUCGGAUGUGAAAUCCCGGGGCCCAACCCCGGAACUGCAUCCGAUACUGUCUGGCUAGAGUCCCGGAGAGGGUGGCGGAAUUCCCGGUGUAGGGGUGAAAUCCGUAGAUAUCGGGAGGAACACCAGUGGCGAAGGCGGCCACCUGGACGGUGACUGACGCUGAGACUCGAAAGCGUGGGUAGCAAACAGGAUUAGAUACCCUGGUAGUCCACGCUGUAAACGGUGAGUGCUCGUCGUCGUGGGUAUUGACCCCUGCGGUGACCAAGUUAACACAUGAAGCACUCCGCCUGGGAGGUACGGUCGCAAGACUAAAACUCAAAGAAAUUGACGGGGGCCCGCACAAGCGGUGGAGCAUGUUGUUUAAUUCGAAGCAACGCGCAGAACCUUACCUGGAUUUGACAUCUCUGGAAUCCUCCUGAAAGGGAGGAGUGCCUUCGGGAGCCAGAAGACAGGUGUUGCAUGGCUGUCGUCAGCUCGUGUCGUGAGGUGUUGGGUUAAGUCCCGCAACGAGCGCAACCCCUAUCGUUAGUUGCUAGCAGUUCGGCUGAGCACUCUAGCGAGACUGCCGGUGUUAAACCGGAGGAAGGUGGGGACGACGUCAAGUCCUCAUGGCCUUUAUAUCCAGGGCUACUAACGUGCUACAAUGGUCGGUACAGAGGGCUGCAAACCCGCGAGGGCAAGCCAAUCCCACAAAGCCGGCCUCAGUUCGGAUUGAAGUCUGCAAUUCGACUUCAUGAAGGCGGAAUCGCUAGUAAUCGCGGAUCAGCAUGCCGCGGUGAAUACGUUCCCGGGCCUUGUACACACCGCCCGUCACGCCACGAAAGCUGGUUGAACCAGAAGUCGAUGACCCAACCGCAAGGAGGGAAUCGCCCAAGGUAUGACUGGUGAUUGGGGUGAAGUCGUAACAAGGUA
rnacentral:rRNA from 1 species